GCCAGAGUGGCGGAAUUGGUAGACGCGCACGACUCAAAAUCGUGUUCCUUCGGGAGUGUGGGUUCGAUUCCCACCUUUGGUACAA
rnacentral:tRNA from 1 species